rnacentral:rRNA from 1 species
GAAUAUUGCACAAUGGGGGAAACCCUGAUGCAGCCAUGCCGCGUGUGUGAAGAAGGCCUUCGGGUUGUAAAGCACUUUCAGUGGUGAGGAAGGCUAGCGUGUUAAUAGCGCGCUAGAUUGACGUUAGCCACAGCAGAAGCACCGGCCAACUCCGUGCCAGCAGCCGCGGUAAUACGGAGGGUGCAAGCGUUAAUCGGAAUUACUGGGCGUAAAGCGUACGUAGGCGGCCCAUUAAGCAAGAUGUGAAAGCCCCGGGCUCAACCUGGGAAUGGCAUUUUGAACUGGUGGGCUAGAGUUUUGAAGAGGGUGGUAGAAUUUCCAGUGUAGCGGUGAAAUGCGUAGAUAUUGGAAGGAAUACCAGUGGCGAAGGCGGCCACCUGGUCAAAAACUGACGCUGAGGUACGAAAGCGUGGGGAGCAAACAGG